GAUGAUCUCCAGCUUGCUGGGGGGAUUAGUGGCGAACGGGUGAGUAACACGUGAGUAACCUGCCCUUGACUCUGGGAUAAGCCUGGGAAACCGGGUCUAAUACUGGAUACGACCUUCCCGCGCAUGCGGUGUUGGUGGAAAGCUUUUGCGGUUUUGGAUGGACUCGCGGCCUAUCAGCUUGUUGGUGGGGUAAUGGCCUACCAAGGCGACGACGGGUAGCCGGCCUGAGAGGGUGACCGGCCACACUGGGACUGAGACACGGCCCAGACUCCUACGGGAGGCAGCAGUGGGGAAUAUUGCACAAUGGGCGCAAGCCUGAUGCAGCGACGCCGCGUGAGGGAUGAAGGCCUUCGGGUUGUAAACCUCUUUCAGUAGGGAAGAAGCUGCUCUUUUGGGGUGGUGACGGUACUUGCAGAAGAAGCGCCGGCUAACUACGUGCCAGCAGCCGCGGUAAUACGUAGGGCGCAAGCGUUAUCCGGAAUUAUUGGGCGUAAAGAGCUCGU
rnacentral:rRNA from 1 species